rnacentral:lncRNA from 1 species
GUGUCUUAGGCGGUUCCAGCCGUUAGUCACAGGGCGGCCGGACUACAAUCCCAGCAUACAACGGGAGUGGAGGUGGUGACCUUGAGAGAGGGCCUGUGCUGUGCGCGCCUCGCGGGGCAUGCUGGGAGCAGUAGCAUCUUAGCUGCUUCCGGCCGCUGGUCGCAGGGCUGCGGGACUACAAUCUUCGCAUGAAAUGGAAGAGAGGGUGGUGCGGAUAGCUUGAGGAAGGAACACUACAAGGCCUGUUAGAGAAGAAAGGGUAGAAUCCCGAGAAUGUUUUCCCCACAGUGCUGAUAAGGAGAGACCACUAUCCCAUCUACUGCUACAGCUCUGGAGACAGAGCUCUCCCACCUGUCAUAUAGAACACAAGGACCAAUCUGCAGAGAAAGAGCAUCCAAACCUGAUCCAGUGGACACUGGGGAAAAACUCACCACAGCUGAGUGUGGAAAAACAAGGCCAACACACACAUCUCUGCACAGAUACAUCU